UGUGGUUCUAAUUGUAAGUCGCUCUGGAUGAGAGCGUCUGCUAAAUGACUCAAA
rfam:Salmo salar isolate Sally breed double haploid chromosome ssa08, whole genome shotgun sequence.